rnacentral:sRNA from 1 species
AAGGAAGUAAAAUGGCGGACCUGGCGAACGAAGAAAAGCCUGCCAUUGCUCCGCCCGUCUUUGUGUUUCAGAAGGAUAAAGGACAAAAGUCCCCUGCAGAGCAAAAAAACUUGUCGGAUUCGGGAGAGGAGCCUCGGGGGGAGGCUGAGGCCCCCCACCAUGGCACGGGUCACCCCGAGUCAGCUGGCGAGCAUGCCCUAGAACCUCCUGCCCCUGCUGGCGCCUCAGCCAGCACUCCUCCGCCUCCCGCUCCUGAAGCCCAGCUUCCUCCUUUUCCGCGAGAACUGGCAGGGGAAGAAGAAAAGACUCUUCCUUUGAACCCAGAAGGAAUCCCCUGAGCCCUUUAUCUUUGUAUUAAGAAGCCUUUUGAAGAUUAUAGGUGGAGAAGAUUGUGAACUCUCAAGAACAAGAAAUGUCUUGGGUUUUUGAAGUUUGAUAAAUUGGGAAAGGUAAACAUUAUCCUACAUUCAGGAUUGAAAACUCCAUCCUGUAGGUAACUCGUGACAGAAGACCCCUAUUCUCAGGACAGGGAAAAAGGACUCUUAACAAGAAAAGAAGGGACCCAGCUCUACCGCCUGAGCAGCAGGCA